AUUGAACGCUGGCGGCAGGCUUAACACAUGCAAGUCGAGCGGAGUGAUGGUGCUUGCACUAUCACUUAGCGGCGGACGGGUGAGUAAUGCUUAGGAAUCUGCCUAUUAGUGGGGGACAACAUCUCGAAAGGGAUGCUAAUACCGCAUACGUCCUACGGGAGAAAGCAGGGGAUCACUUGUGACCUUGCGCUAAUAGAUGAGCCUAAGUCGGAUUAGCUAGUUGGUGGGGUAAAGGCCUACCAAGGCGACGAUCUGUAGCGGGUCUGAGAGGAUGAUCCGCCACCCUGGGACUGAGACACGGCCCAGACUCCUAAGGGAGGCAGCAGUGGGGAAUAUUGGACAAUGGGGGGAACCCUGAUCCAGCCAUGCCGCGUGUGUGAAGAAGGCCUUAUGGUUGUAAAGCACUUUAAGCGAGGAGGAGGCUCUUUUGGUUAAUACCCAAGAUGAGUGGACGUUACUCGCAGAAUAAGCACCGGCUAACUCUGUGCCAGCCGCCGCAGUAA
rnacentral:rRNA from 1 species